rnacentral:rRNA from 1 species
UACGUAGGUGGCAAGCGUUGUCCGGAUUUAUUGGGUUUAAAGGGUGCGUAGGUGGCUAACUAAGUCAGUGGUGAAAUAUCUCAGCUUAACUGAGAGGGUGCCAUUGAUACUGGAUAGCUUGAGUACAGAUGAGGUAGGCGGAAUUGACGGUGUAGCGGUGAAAUGCUUAGAUAUCGUCAAGAACACCUAUAGCGAAGGCAGCUUACUAGGCUGUAACUGACGCUGAGGCACGAAAGUGUGGGGAUCAAACAGG